AACAAUUAACCUGCAGCAACCAUUCAAUUAUGGUGGGAACACCUACUCUCAACUCAAUCUGAGUAUGGAUGGUUACGUGGCUUUCUUCGUUCCAUACAUCGAUAGAAAUGCCAUCAAAAACAUUCGCAAAAACAUUAUUGCUCCACUGUGGACUGAUCUGGAUGCUAACGACGGAGGAAAAUGGACCUACCAGCAGGCCACAAACGGGUCUCUUAUAGCUCAAGCCAACAAUGAAAUAAAGAAAAUGUUUUCUAA